UCAACGUUUAGCAACCAACGCGUUCGGAAGCUUUGUUUACACCGUUCAAUAUUCAAAGUGUUUGAAAGUUGUUAAAUAUUUGUUGCAGUGAGAUUCUAAACAUGGACUAUGAAGUAAACUCCAGCAAAUGCCAAGCCCACCGUAUGGAUGAUCUUUACAAUAAGAUAUCGUCAACGAUCAAAGAUGCCAGUCCGAGUUUGCGGCAAUGUUCUACGAGUCUCCGAAUUAUUAUAGAACAAUCAUUAGAAAUGAAUGCACCAUUGUACCUUAUACCCAUUGCAUUCGACAUAAGAUUUAACAAUGUUGACCCGGGCAGUAUUUCCCAAUGUUUGGAGAAAAUUGGAACUGAUCAAGAUACUAUAAGGCAAAUUCUUUACUUAUUUCAACAUGACUCCCGUCGAAUUGGCACCUGUUGCAAAAUUUGGCAAUCUCCGGAUAUAAAAGAAAUACAAGGAAUUGAAUUUUGCCUCUUGAGAGUGGUUUCUAUUUUGGUUCUGUCUUGGAGAAAAUCAAUGUUAAUGCAGAAGAUGGUAUAAUUUGGGAAGGAAAAGAGCUGCACUAUUUGGUUUUUGAAGAUCAAAUUUGUCUUAUGGCAAAAACAGUUGCUGCAAUCCAGUCUGAAGUCGAGCAAGUGGAAUUGCAUGCAUGUAAUGCAGGUCUAAAUAUCGACAGAAAAAAAACCAAGAUUAUGUGUAUAUCAGACAACAACACCGAGCCUGUUAAGCUCAAGGAUGCGGUAUUAAAAUAUGUUCGCUAUAUUUGGUACCUCGACAGUAUUUUUUGCAAAAAUGGAGGCAUAUUUGCUGAUGUGGCGAAAUCCAUACUGAUUGCUAACGAAAAUUUUACGGUAAUGCGAGAAUAUUGGAAAUCACCGAAAUAUUCGACCGAGGAAAAGAUGAAAUGUUUCAAUACUUUUAUAAAGCCGAUAUUACUUGAUGGGUGUGAGACGUGGAUUGAACCCAAAAGGGAGAUGAAGAAGCUGCAAAAAUUUGUAAAUAAGUGUCUGAGAGAGAUAUUACAAUCACGCGAGAUCCCUAAAAGAGAACUUCUUACUAGGUGCAAUGAAGAUCCUAUUGUAUACCAGAUUCGUUACAAGAAAUGGCUAUUUAUUGGUAGAAUCUUAAGAAAACCAAACACAAUUAUCUCCGCAAAGAGUUUCCAGUGGAAUCCACAAGGCAAGAGAAACAACGGACGCCCAAAGUUUACGUUGCAGAGAACUGUUGAAGAUAGAUUGGAAAAAAUUGGACCCACCUGGCCAGAUUUGAUACGUUUGGCCCAAGAUCCUCAUGUUUGGAAAAAGUUUCUAGAUGUGUAUAUUCACUGUUAUGCCGAUAAGAAAACAGUUGAACAAUUUCUUCAGGUGAAACAUAAUGAAAACGGAGACACAAAAAACUCUCUGUGAGAUACCAUGCCAUUUUUCGUAUUUUCCCCAGCAAAAUUAAUUCCCCAUCAACCCAUCCCACAAAAAAAAAAAUUCAGAUACAAUUUUUUACACCAAAUCUAAAAUCGUCCUCAGAAUAAUUUUUUGUGAGAAUAUUGACAACAUUUUAAUUUGUGAAAAACGCUCAUAAAACAAAACUAACGACAUUUUGCGGCAUCUUUAAUACCUCAUCAGACACAAAACUAUUGGUCGUACUAGAAACUAGUAAAAUAGUAUGACAGUAACACUGAGGCAGACUAGCCUAUUCCUACUAGAAACCUGUAAGGAAAGCUCAAAAGUCGGGCGGGGCCGACUAUAUGAUACCCCACACCACUAUGCAUAUUUAGUAGAGCUCUCGUAAAAAGGUUUAUACAGGGCAUUUCAGAGCUCUAUGAGAUAUUUGGUACAAAAUCAAAAUCUAUCUAAUUCUAUCGUGCAUUUUACAAACUAUAGCUAUCUCUGAACCGGGUUUCUCCAAAUUUUACGUAUUCUUCUUCUUCUUCUAGACUGGUGAUUUGGGCUGAUAUUGACCAUUUUGUGCACAUUUAACCCGAAAUCGGAUGAAGAUAUAUAUGAGAGCUAUAUCCAAAUCUGAACCGAUUUCGAUAAAAUUUAAAACAGCUA